rnacentral:tRNA from 1 species
GUCAAUGUGGCAGAGAGCGUAUGCGAAAGUUCUAAGAUCUUUUUACGGGGGGAGUCCCUGUUGACU